rnacentral:rRNA from 1 species
UACGAAGGGGGCAAGCGUUGUUCGGAAUUACUGGGCGUAAAGGGCGCGUAGGCGGCUUAUCAAGUCAGGCGUGAAAUUCCCGGGCUCAACCUGGGGGCUGCGCUUGAUACUGAUUGGCUUGAAUGCGGGAGAGGAUAGUGGAAUUCCCAGUGUAGAGGUGAAAUUCGUAGAUAUCGGGAGGAACACCAGUGGCGAAGGCGGCUUCCUGGCCUGUUCUUGACGCUGAGGCGCGAAAGCUAGGGGAGCAAACGGG